ACGUACAGCCCGUUCGACGGCGCGCGUCUGAGCUCAGCUGGCAGGAGAUUGGUCAGCACCUCAGCGCCCUCUAUACUCGCGGCGGUCUGACGUCCAUCGAAUCCUCAGCGCAGCUCGUCCCAGGCUCCGCUAUCGCCGGAGUCUACGCGACCGACGGCACGGUGUACAGAGCCGUCGUGCUAGCGCCCAAGCCGGAGGCGCCCCCUGUGGUGGUCGCUGGAACCGAGCUGAUCUCUGUGCGUUACGUCGACUUUGGCAACUCGGAGGAGGUUCCGCUGGAGAGGCUGUUCCAUCUACCGCC